rnacentral:lncRNA from 1 species
GGGACAUGGCAGAGCUGCAACCCAACCCAAGGCAGAGAGGGAGAGAAAUACUCUGGCUUCUCCCCUUCUCCUGCCCUCCAGUCUUAGGUCACGUCUCACCAGGAAGUCAGUUGGCGAGAAUCUGGGAAAUGGAGUUUCCUGCAAUCCAGCGUGGAAAGAAACAGGCAAAUGACGGCACAAAUGAUGUGCCUGGUUCUGGACAUGUGGAGUUUCGAGAGGACCUCAUGACACUUGGAUGGGAGCAUCGCACAGUUAAUUGCAAGUGUGCAGCUGGAGCAGGAGUGUGGAGAUGGAAGGAGGCAGAUGUUGGAGGCUUCUGCAGAGAGGUGCGAGCAGAAGCUAGAGAGGGAGGACAAGAUAUGCAAGUCAGACAGUAGAAGAUGAGAGAGCAGGCAACGAUCAAGGCUGCUGAAGUAACCUUCUGUCAACAGUUGAAAAUUGGAGUCUACGGCCAUACCACCCUGAACGUGCCUGAUCUCGUCUGAAAAUUGGGAGAAGUGGCAGAUUUGGCUGGAAAGGCAGAUGUUACAGAUAAACUAGCCAAGGUUUUGAUGAGCUUUACAUUCCAGAAUUAAGCUAUGAUUUUUUUCUUCUUCUGUCUUAUAGUUUGCCAUUUUGGAGUGUGUGUGUAGAUAUAUAAAAGUGUGUACACAUACAUACAUUUAAGGAAAAAAGCCUUACUGGUAAUACACUAACCUUAAGAUACAGGAAAAUUCUAGUUGAUUACAAUAUGUAUGUAGUUUUCGUCCUCUUCUUUUAGUAUGUUAC